rnacentral:rRNA from 1 species
UACGUAGGCAGCGAGCGUUUGUUCGGAUUUACUGGGCGUAAAGGGCGCGUAGGCGGUCGUGACAAGUCACUUGUGAAAUCUCCGGGCUUAACUCGGAACGGUCAAGUGAUACUGUCGGACUAGAGUACAGAAGGGGCAACUGGAAUUCUCGGUGUAGCGGUGAAAUGCGUAGAGAUCGGGAGGAACACCUGUGGCGAAGGCGGCCCCCCUGGGCCGGCCCUGACACUGAGACGCGAAGGCGUGGGGAGCGAACGGG